CUCAUCGAAAAGUUUCGCUGCUGUUCAGCGAAUCAUAAGCUGCCUUAUGUAGGCAUGUUUGUACUCGCCUGCCUUGUUGAGCGUGCAGAAAACCGGUUUGACCGGAACUAAUAAUUCACAAUGUACAAACAUUGCAUCACACCCAGGCAAUAUUGCUAUGAUGAAAUUGAAUAUGUGUUUUACAAAAUUUAAAGUUCCCAUGCUAGGGCAUGUAAUUGAUUAUACUAACAUAAAAAGUUUAUCUUACACGAUUUUUAUUCUAGAAAACGCAGAAACGACGUGUGUUUUCCUCGUGCUACAGAAUAAUCGCAUAGUAUGACACGCUUGAUAUGUUAAAGGGGAUUUCCCUCUCACACAAAUAUGUCAUCGUUAAUCCACAAAGGGGAACAAUUACGGCCCAUGAAAGAAAUGGUGAGAACUUCUCAAGCUCUGUGUAUACUGUGCUGGACAUUUUAGACGUCAAACAAAGACAAAAUAGAUGAUACUAUAGCAUUAUAAACGAUGGCGGAGGACGGUUGUCUAUUUUCCGUGGAUUAUCUUAUUAAUGAUAUACAACGUUUGUAUUGUAAAAAAACGAACGUUUCAGAGAUAAGUUGAGUAAUGAUUGAUAAGAAAAAAAUCAAACAAAGGGAUCCUUUUCAAUCAUGCGAGGACAAAAAAAACAACUCUGAGGCUUCAAAAGAAUUUGAUAAAAUACUCAAGAAUGUCGUAAAGACAAUGGCGAGGUCUAAGAUUUUACAAAAUUCAUACGGAAGUAACAAAAGGACCUUCUCGGGGAGUCUUGAAGACAACAAUAAAUCCUUUUACGGUAAAAUAUCUCAGAAAGUUGAUCAUGCAUGUCCUUGGUGAAGUGGUUGUACAAUUGGAGAAAACAAUAAUGCUCCACACAUACGAAGGCUCUGAAAUCACUUUCAAUGGGAACUUAGAAAGUAUUCGAGAAGAAAUAGCUUGUGAAGUAGAUGAAAACCUUAAAAUGAAACAUAGACAAGCACUGCAAUGUUGUAUAGAUAAAUUGAAAUAUUUAGGUUGGUUUAUAGACUAUCAUGUUGCAUUUGGAAAUCAUAUCACGAGUCGUUAUGGUACAUCGGUGCACCUGUUUGGUUUUAUGAAGUACCUAAUCCUUUAAUCGAAAAUGCGCAGCUUUCUCGGAUUACGUCAAAGCUUUCACGACAGGAGGAAAGGUUACACAUGACAACUAUUCUCAGUUGUCUUUUUUCUUGCUUUAGAAGAUGGUCGAAAAUUAUUCUUCAUUUCUGAAGAUAGUUAUUUUACUUCAACAUCGUACUGUCGUAACUAACUUGUUAUUUCAUUUAAUGAGCAAGAUUCGCAAAUUAAAGACGGAUGGUAUAGCUUGUAGAGGGAAAACUCGUGAAGUGGUGUUCACGAUGGAAUGAAAUCAGUACGUCAUGUAAUGUUUCGCGACUUGGAUACAAUACACUAUGACAUGGAAUUGUCGUGAUUUUUUUUCAGUUAACCUAUCUCAUUCCCAACAAUUUCCCAACCAUAUUCCUCUAAUUUCGCAACACAAAUUAUGAAGUCCAUUAUUAAAAGACAAGUCAAAGUAUGACAUAUUUAAACAAGGCGAGGACUGUCGAGAACAGCUCUUAAAGACACAACUCCACCAUCGUCAUGUUUAACAGCCUUUGUUCGAAGCAAAUGACCGACAGUCUUGUUCUCCAAGAUUUCUUUCUCAUUACUAACAACAAGAACAGAAUGCUCACAUGUUUUGGUUGAAUUCACGAUAAAUAAAGAGAAACAAUUAGUUUCAACUUUUCAUACCUGA